rnacentral:rRNA from 1 species
AGAUGAGUUCUCCCUGAUACUUUAAGUAUCCUAAAGGGUUGUCGUAGACUACGACGUUGAUAGGCAGGGUGUGUAAGCGUUGUGAGGCGUUGAGCUAACCUGUACUAAUUGCCCGUGAGGCUUAACCAUACAACACCCAAGGGGUUU